UGGGAUGGAGCUCAGUGGCAGAGCAUUUGCCUAGCAUGCUCGAGGCCCUGGUUUCAAUCCCCAGCACCACAA
rnacentral:tRNA from 1 species